UACGUAGGGGGCAAGCGUUGUCCGGAUUUAUUGGGCGUAAAGAGCGUGUAGGCGGCCAGACAGGUCCGUUGUGAAAACUGGAGGCUUAACCUCCAGACGUCGAUGGAAACCGUGCGGCUAGAGUCCGGAAGAGGAGAAUGGAAUCCUGGUGUAGCGGUGAAAUGCGCAGAUAUCAGGAAGAACACCCGUGGCUAAGGCGGUUCUCUAGUACGGUACUGACGCUGAGACGCGAAAGCAUGGGGAGCGAACAGG
rnacentral:rRNA from 1 species